GAUCCAGCCAUGCCGCGUGUGUGAAGAAGGUCUUCGGAUUGUAAAGCACUUUAAGUUGGGAGGAAGGGCAUUAACCUAAUACGUUAGUGUUUUGACGUUACCGACAGAAUAAGCACCGGCUAACUCUGUGCCAGCAGCCGCGGUAAUACAGAGGGUGCAAGCGUUAAUCGGAAUUACUGGGCGUAAAGCGCGCGUAGGUGGUUUGUUAAGUUGGAUGUGAAAGCCCCGGGCUCAACCUGGGAACUGCAUCCAAAACUGGCAAGCUAGAGUACGGUAGAGGGUGGUGGAAUUUCCUGUGUAGCGGUGAAAUGCGUAGAUAUAGGAAGGAACACCAGUGGCGAAGGCGACCACCUGGACUGAUACUGACACUGAGGUGCGAAAGCGUGGGGAGCAAACA
rnacentral:rRNA from 1 species